CAGUCGCCGCGGUAAGACGGAGGGUGCUAGCGUUGUUCGGAAUCACUGGGCGUAAAGGGCGCGUAGGCGGCCUGUUAAGUCGGAUGUGAAAGCCCGGGGCUCAACCCCGGAACUGCAUCCGAGACUGGCAGGCUUGAGACCGGGAGAGGAGGGUGGAAUAUCCAGUGUAGAGGUGAAAUUCGUAGAUAUUGGAUGGAACACCGGUGGCGAAAGCGGCUCUCUGGCCCGGAUCUGACGCUGAGGCGCGAAAGCGUGGGGAGCAAACAGGAUUAGAGACCCCGGUAGUCCCUGUCUCUUAUAC
rnacentral:rRNA from 1 species